CCUACGGGGUGCAGCAGUAGGGAAUAUUGCUCAAUGGGGGAAACCCUGAAGCAGCAACGCCGCGUGGAGGAUGAAGGUUUUCGGAUUGUAAACUCCUUUUGUUAGAGAAGAUAAUGACGGUAUCUAACGAAUAAGCACCGGCUAACUCCGUGCCAGCAGCCGCGGUAAUACGGAGGGUGCAAGCGUUACUCGGAAUCACUGGGCGUAAAGGGCGCGUAGGCGGGAUAGCAAGUCAGAUGUGAAAUCCUAUGGCUUAACCAUAGAACUGCAUUUGAAACUGUUAUUCUAGAGUAUGGGAGAGGUAGGUGGAAUUCUUGGUGUAGGGGUAAAAUCCGUAGAGAUCAAGAGGAAUACUCAUUGCCAAGGCGACCUGCUAGAACAUAACUGACGCUGAUGCGCGAAAGCGUGGGGAGCAAACAGGAUUAGAUACCCCUGUAGUC
rnacentral:rRNA from 1 species